GGACAAGUUGAUUCUGAAAUCACCAUCCAGAAAUGAGUCACCUAACAUCACUGCCGGGGUCUUGCCCUGCUCUGGGUUCCAGAAGAUGGAGCCUGCAAGAGACCAGUUCAAGAAUUGAGUCCAGUAACUGAGGAAGGAAAUUGCCACAGCCACUCCAAACUUCAACAACCACCAGUCUAAUUCAUCAGCAGCCAUC